AACGGGAACUUGGGAGGCGCGGCGCUGUGACGCCACCGCUGGCUGGCCCCGAAGCACUCGAAUUGAGAAAACGCAGUCAACCAAAAGGUCUCUUUCGCUCUCUCCCUCUGCCGAAAACUUUCGAGUUGUCGCAGAUUGUGUGAUCAUGGCAGAAGAAGCUGUUGCGUCGGAGUCCGGCACCGAAAACCCGCUGGUGACCGUCACGUUCCAGCGCGAUGCCAACAGGAAGCAGAAGUACCUGGAGGCCGAGCCCAAAGCUCUCGGGAUCACCCAGAUUCUCCUGAGCGUGCAUCUGAUUUCGUGUGUGAGUAUAUUUCCAGCCAAGCACCGUUACGGUGAGAAUAUCAUCCCUUUCAUCGUGGCAUCCGUUCUGGUAAGCAAAAACACUUGCAGGGCAUCCAAAAAUCCCGCCCUUUUUUUCACUUUUUGUUUUCAGAUUUUUGUCCU